CCUACGGGAGGCAGCAGUGAGGAAUAUUGGUCAAUGGGCGGGAGUCUGAACCAGCCAAGCCGCGUGAGGGAAGACUGUACAGUGUAUUGUAAACCUCUUUUGUCAGGGAACAAAGGCGGGGACUAGUCCCCGGAUGAGGGUACCUGAAGAAUAAGCAUCGGCUAACUCCGUGCCAGCAGCCGCGGGAAUACGGAGGAUUCAAGCGUUAUCCGGAUUUAUUGGGGUUAAAGGGUGCGGAGGCGGGCCUGUAAGUCAGUGGUGAAAGGACGGGGCUUAACCGCGGGCGUGCAGUGGAAACUGGCGGUCUUGAGUUGGGGAGAGGUAGGCGGAAUGCGCGGUGUAGCGGUGAAAUGCUUAGAUAGCGCGCAGAACACCGAUUGCGAAGGCAGCUUACCGGCCUCACACUGACGCUGAGGCACGAAAGCGUGGGUAUCGAACAGGAUUAGAUACCCUAGUAGUC
rnacentral:rRNA from 1 species